UGCCUUUAUGUGUUGCUCUUUCAGUGUCUCCAUCAUGAAAUGGGUGUCAACUAAGGCAAACAGAAAAUCUUGUGGUUGUCUUAGGAAGAAGUCACCAGUGAUUUUUCUGACAAGAAUAACUGCAAGAACAUGU